GGCGAGUGGCGAACGGGUGAGUAAUACAUCGGAACGUGCCCUGUAGUGGGGGAUAACUAGUCGAAAGAUUAGCUAAUACCGCAUACGGCCUGAGGGUGAAAGUGGGGGACCGCAAGGCCUCAUGCUAUAGGAGCGGCCGAUGUCUGAUUAGCUAGUUGGUGAGGUAAAGGCUCACCAAGGCGACGAUCAGUAGCUGGUCUGAGAGGACGAUCAGCCACACUGGGACUGAGACACGGCCCAGACUCCUACGGGAGGCAGCAGUGGGGAAUUUUGGACAAUGGGCGAAAGCCUGAUCCAGCAAUGCCGCGUGUGUGAAGAAGGCCUUCGGGUUGUAAAGCACUUUUGUCCGGAAAGAAAUGGCUCUGGUUAAUACCUGGGGUCGAUGACGGUACCGGAAGAAUAAGGACCGGCUAACUACGUGCCAGCAGCCGCGGUAAUACGUAGGGUCCAAGCGUUAAUCGGAAUUACUGGGCGUAAAGCGUGCGCAGGCGGUUGUGCAAGACCGAUGUGAAAUCCCCGAGCUUAACUUGGGAAUUGCAUUGGUGACUGCACGGCUAGAGUGUGUCAGAGGGGGGUAGAAUUCCACGUGUAGCAGUGAAAUGCGUAGAGAUGUGGAGGAAUACCGAUGGCGAAGGCAGCCCCCUGGGAUAACACUGACGCUCAUGCAC
rnacentral:rRNA from 1 species